rnacentral:rRNA from 1 species
GAUGAACGCUGGCGGCGUGCCUAACACAUGCAAGUCGAGCGACUUACUUCGGUAAAGAGCGGCGGACGGGUGAGUAACGCGUGGGUAACCUGCCCUGUACACACGGAUAACAUACCGAAAGGUAUGCUAAUACGGGAUAAUAUGCUUUUAUCGCAUGGUAGAAGUAUCAAAGCUCCGGCGGUACAGGAUGGACCCGCGUCUGAUUAGCUAGUUGGUAAGGUAACGGCUUACCAAGGCGACGAUCAGUAGCCGACCUGAGAGGGUGAUCGGCCACAUUGGAACUGAGACACGGUCCAAACUCCUACGGGAGGCAGCAGUGGGGAAUAUUGCACAAUGGGCGAAAGCCUGAUGCAGCAACGCCGCGUGAGCGAUGAAGGCCUUCGGGUCGUAAAGCUCUGUCCUCAAGGAAGAUAAUGACGGUACUUGAGGAGGAAGCCCCGGCUAACUACGUGCCAGCAGCCGCCGUAACAC